rnacentral:rRNA from 1 species
UACGUAGGGUGCGGGCGUUAAUCGGAAUUACUGGGCGUAAAGCGUGCGCAGGCGGUUUUGUAAGCCAGAUGUGAAAGCCCCGGGCUUAACCUGGGAAUGGCAUUUGGGACUGCAAGGCUUGAGUGCGGCAGAGGAGACUGGAAUUCCUGGUGUAGCGGUGAAAUGCGCAGAUAUCGGGAGGAACACCAGUGGCGAAGGCGGGUCUCUGGACAGUUCCUGACACUGAGACACGAAGGCCAGGGGAGCAAACGGG